UACGUAGGGCGCGAGCGUUGUCCGGAAUUAUUGGGCGUAAAGAGCUCGUAGGCGGCUUGUUGCGUCUGCUGUGAAAUCCCGGGGCUUAACCCCGGGCGUGCAGUGGAUACGGGCAGGCUGGAGGCAGGCAGGGGAGAAUGGAAUUCCUGGUGUAGCGGUGAAAUGCGCAGAUAUCAGGAGGAACACCGGUGGCGAAGGCGGUUCUCUGGGCAUUACCUGACGCUGAGGAGCGAAAGCGUGGGGAGCGAACAGG
rnacentral:rRNA from 1 species